rnacentral:lncRNA from 1 species
CCCAGCAUCACCCCUCUCCUGACUUCUGACCCCCGAGGUUGCUGUGUUUGUGCUUGAUGUGAAGGAAUCCUGCUAUUUUGUGCUUGGUUCCUUUCUCCCAAUAUUGCAUGUGAGAUCAUCCGUAGUGUGUGUAGUGGUGGAUUGUCUGUCCUCGUGAUAUCGUAGUUCCCAGCUUAGGGCUAUUAUGGGUAGUCCUGCUAUGAAUAUUCUAGCAUGUGUCUUUGGUGAACAUAUGGAUGUGUUUCUUCUGGGUGUGUGACUAGGAAUAGCGUUGGUGGGUCACAGCGUAUGCCUGCGUUCAGCUUCAGUAGAUCCUGACCCACUUCUAAACGUGCCUAGCAGUGCUGGAGCCAUUUAUGGGCAUGUCAGCUGGCGGGGCUGCGAGCCUCCCUCCGUCGUAGCUCCCUUCUGUGAAUGGCCCCACGGGCAGCACAGGGAACAAUCCAACGAAAGAACCGAACCUGCCUUGGACAGCUAACUAACUGCGGUCUCAUUCUGUUUCCCUGAAACGUGGAAUUAAGUUUCGAAUACAACUUUCCUUCCCUCUUAACAACGAUAUUAUUCAUGUCUACAUUUAUUGCAAGCAUUUACCUAGAAGAUAAGGCCUAUUUCCUCCAAUAAGGCAGUUUUUACUCUCUCCUGGGCUCCCCUGCCCAUAAGUGAGUGGGCCCCGUGGAUCUGCCUCCCGCAUGGUCCUCCCGGAGCUCCACUUGUUUCCAGCCUUGCUGCCAAGUCCUGUCAACCUCCCUCCACCUGUCACUGAACCUCCGCAGCAGCCUCCCGCUUCCUCCUCUCUCGCCCUGCAUACAGCCCACUGUGGCCGGAGGGAGCCAUGUGAACCGCAUGUCAGAACACACCUCUUCCUGCUCAAGGCCUUUUGAGGCUCACAGACUGUAAUCAAAAUGAAGUCAGAAUGUUUUAAGUGCCUUUUAUGGUCAGCCCUGUGAUCUACAGCGGG